UGAGGAUUUUUGAAUAUAUGGCGAGUUAGAAAAAUGGACGAAGAAAAACAAGGGCGAGAAAAAACGGGCGAAGAAUAAAAUUUCCUUCGCCCGUUUUUUCUCGCCCUUUUUCUCUUCGCUCAUUUUUUCUAAUCCUCCAUUUAUUCAAAAAUCCUCAA